UGCCGCCAGGUCUUAAAGUGAGAGGACCAGGACAAAGGUUCUGGGUAAGCAAGGGAACCAGAUCAUUUGAAAAGGACUGAAGGAGCUUACUAGAAUCAGUCAGGCAGGCCAGCUCAAAACCAGAACAGUAGCGCGGUACAGAAUCAGGAUCGAGAAGAGAAGUCAAACAGGCAAGGGGUCAGUCCAGGCGGAGUUCUCUCAAAGUCAGGAUAGUGGCAUGGAUCGGAAUCAAAUACACAGAAUAGCAGCACACCCAGGAACUUUACUAGAAAGACCUAUAACGGGCAAUGACUGGGUGCAGAGCAAAGGGUUAUAUAGGCAGGUUGAUAGUUAACACAGAGUACCUGUGACCUGAUUAACAACAGGUGAAGCUAACCGUGCCUACAUGAAUAUAUGUUAAUAGCAAGGAACCAGGACCAUAGCUAUCUGCUCAAAUAGAGCAGUGGUAAAAGAUACCACACAACAACCUUCAGGUCACUGGUUCAAUUCCAGGCAGGCUGUUACAGCUUUACACAGUAUAACUCAAGCGCUUCCAUUAGUUAAUAAAAUGCUUAGUAAGUUAGAUGACUAUUUGCUGCUAUGUGAAAAGAAAUGAGUGUAGAUAAAAAGUAAUUAUUUGUA